rnacentral:rRNA from 1 species
AUUAAUAAUUAAUAUAUUUAAUAAAAAUAAUUUUAAUUUAAUAAAUAUUUUAAUGGGGGUUAAAGUAUUUUUUAAAGAAAAAAUUUUUAAAUUUAUAGUUAAUUAGUAUUGUGAAAGAAUUUUGAAAUAUUAUGAAAAAUAAAAUUUUUAUAAAGUAAUUUUUAUUUAUUGUAUCUUGUGUAUCAGAGUUUAUUAAAAAUUUUUAAUUUAUAAAUUAAUUUCUCGAAUUUAAAAGAGUUAAAUAAUUAUUAAAGUUAUUGUAGCAAAAUUAUUUUAAAUAAUUAUUUAGAAAUGAAAUGUUAAUCGUUUUUAAAUAUAUCUAGUUUUUAAAGAAAAAAAUUUAAUUUUAAAUUUAAAAAUUAUUUAAUUAAUUUAUUAAUUAAAUAAUUAUUUAAAUUUUAUAAUUUAAGGGAUAAGCUUUAAAUUAAAUUUUUAUAAUAUUAAAUUUUUAUUUUGAAAAUUUUAUAAUUUAUAUUGUUAAUAAAUUUUAUUUUGUUAUAAAUAAUUUCAUUUUUUUUAAAAUUUAAAUUUUAUUUAAUUUUUUAUAUAAAAUUUAUUUAUAAUUAUAUAAAGUUAAUUAUAAUGAUAAAAUUAGUAUAUUAUUUAAUAUUAAAUUAAAAUUAAUUUUUGAUUAAUAAUUAAAUUAAUUAAAAGGAAUUCGGCAAAUAUUUAUUUUCACUUGUUUAUCAAAAACAUGUCUUUUUGUUAUUUAAUUUAAAGUCUAAUCUGCCCACUGAUUUAUAAAAAUUGAAGGGCUGCAGUAUAUUGACUGUACAAAGGUAGCAUAAUCAUUAGUCUCUUAAUUGGUGACUUGUAUGAAAGAUUGGAUGAAAAAUAUACUGUCUCUUAAUUAAUAUAUAGAAUUUAAUUUUUUAUUUAAAAAGUUAAAAUAAUUUAAAAAGACGAGAAGACCCUAUAGAGUUUAAUAAAUUAUUUUAUGGAAGUUUUAUUUAUAUUUACUAAUAAUUUUAUAAAUUUAUUUAUUUUGUUGGGGUGAUAAAAAAAUAAAUUUAACUUUUUUUAAGUAAUUUACAUGAAUAAGUGAUUAAU